GAUGAAGACGUAGCGAAAUGCGAUACUUGGUGUGAAUUGCAGAAUCCCGUGAACCAUCGAGUCUUUGAACGCAAGUUGCGCCCGAAGCCAUCAGGUUGAGGGCACGUCUGCCUGGGCGUCACAUAUCGUUGCCCAAUGCCUAUUGCAGUGCAAUAGGAAUUUCUAGGGCGAAUGAUGGCUUCCCGUGAGCGUUGUUGCCUCGCGGUUGGUUGAAAAUCGAGUCCUUGGUAGGGUGUGCCAUGGUAGAUGGUGGUCGAGUUAGAACGAUACCGAUCAUGUGCAUGCUCCCCAAAAUAUGGCCUCUAUGACCCACACGCGUCUUUUGACGCUCAUGACGAGACCUCAGGUCAGGCGGGGCUACCCGCUGAAUUUAAGCAUAUCAAUAAGCGGAGGA
rnacentral:misc_RNA from 1 species